rnacentral:lncRNA from 1 species
UUACUCCGGCGUUACUCGCAUGUUACUCUGGCUUCGUUUCCGGAGUCCUGAGACCCGAGGGGCGUUGUUACUCCGUGCCCUAACUCCAUAGUUGCUCCCUGUUAGUCAGAGGUUACUCACGCUUUACUCCAAGGUUACUCGGACGUUACUCCGGCUUCCUUUCCGGAGUCCUGAGACCCGAGGGGAGUUGUUGCUCCGUAUCCCACCUCCGUAGUUGCUCCUUAUUACUCUUGAUGUUACUCCUUACUCCAACGUUACUCAGAUGUUACUCCGGGUUUCUUUCGAGUCCUGACACCCGGGGGGGUGGUUACUCCAUAUUCCUACUCCAUAAUUGCCCCCGCCCCCCGAUUCUGAUGUUGCUCACUCUUUACUCCAGGGUUACUCAGGCAUUAGUCUGGGCUCCCAUCUGGAGUGCUGAGACCCGGGGGGGGGGGGGUUUGGGCCAUCUCCCCACUCCAUGACUUCCCAUUAUUCUGAUGUCACUCCUUACUCCGAGGUUACUCAGACGUUACUCCGGGUUCCUUUUUGGAGUCCUGAGACCCGAGGGGGUUGUUACUCCGUACCCCUACUUUAUAGCCUCAUUGUCACGCUGAUGUUACUCGCUGUUUACAGAUACUCCCGGGUUGCUCAGAUGUUACUCCAGGCUCCUCUGGUGUCCUGAGAUUGGGGGGGUUGUUACUCCGUAGCCCCACUCUGCAGUUCCCCCCUGUUCCUCUGCUACUGUUUACUCCGGGGUUACUCAGAUGUUACUCCGGGUUCCUCUUGAGUCCUGAGGUUGGACAGGGUGUUACUCUGGAUCCUCGCUCUGUAGAUACUUGUCCCCUUACUCUGAGGUUACUCACUCCGGGGUUACUCGGGCCUUACUCCGGGCUGGUUUGGCCUCCCCAUUGCACCAUGGGUCAAUCCUGGGGUGGUACUCCACAUCCCUACUCCAUAGUUACCCGUGCUUACUCCAAGGUUACGCACUCUUUACUCCAGGGUUACUCCCAUGCUACUCCGAGGUUACUCCCACGAUACUCUGAGGUUACUCUUGGUUUAUUCUAAGGUUACUCGUGCUUGACCCACGAGGUCACUCCACUGUUACUCCCAUGUUGCUCCAAGGUUCCUCGUGGUUCAC